AUUGAACGCUGGCGGCAUGCCUUACACAUGCAAGUCGAACGGCAGCGGGGACUUCGGUCCGCCGGCGAGUGGCGAACGGGUGAGUAAUGUAUCGGAACGUACCAUUCAGUGGGGGAUAACUAUCCGAAAGGAUAGCUAAUACCGCAUAUUCUGUGAGCAGGAAAGCAGGGGAUCGCAAGACCUUGAGCUGAUUGAGCGGCCGAUAUAAGAUUAGCUAGUUGGUGAGGUAACGGCUCACCAAGGCUACGACCUGUAGCGGGUCUGAGAGGAUGAUCCGCCACACUGGGACUGAGACACGGCCCAGACUCCUACGGGAGGCAGCAGUGGGGAAUUUUGGACAAUGGGCGCAAGCCUGAUCCAGCCAUGCCGCGUGAGUGAAGAAGGCCUUCGGGUUGUAAAGCUCUUUCGGCCGGGAAGAAAUCGCAUCAGCUAAUACCUGGUGUGGAUGACGGUACCGGAAUAAGAAGCACCGGCUAACUACGUGCCAGCCGCCGCAGUAAAAC
rnacentral:rRNA from 1 species